AGAGAGUUAGUCCAAACACAAGACCCCUAAUUUCGGCUUAGAAAAUUACGGUUUAAACCCGUAACUCUCUU
rnacentral:tRNA from 1 species